GAAGUUCUGGGGGCUAUUUUCAGCGGGGUGUCAGUGGUCUGUGACAAAUGGGAGCCAGUUUAGUGGAGGUGCUGAAUGAAUUCCUGGAGAAUUGGUGUGUGUGUUGGGGGGGGGGGGAUCUGUGACAAGAUUUAUGAGGCUCUGAUGGUCUGGGGUAGCCUGCGACAGUAGGGAGAUCUCACCUACCCCCCCUGGAAUUUCCGCUAACAUUUUGGGGAUUAAAUCAUAGAAGUACAUAGCAGCCUUGACAAGAACUGCAGAUGGAGUCUGGAUGGAAUGAAGUAAAAACAGCGAGCAGGUUUUUGAUGAGUUGGGUCAGAAAAAUGCCAAACAGCAGCAAGCGGAGACUCGUUCGGGACGCCGUUGGGCAGCUCCGCCUCCUAGGUUUCUAGGACUGACAGCCAUUUUCCUUCUCCUUUGGCUACCAAACAAGGAUACAUUCAAUGUCAGAAUACCAACAUGUGGCCAGUAUGUACUCUUAGUUCCACAGAAGCUGGGAAUUCAGCAAGCUGCAAGUGAAAAAUGCACAAAUAAAAAUAUAACUUUGGUUUGUUGGAA